rnacentral:rRNA from 1 species
UUAGGGCCGGCCGGGCGCCAGCCGACGUCUCCAACCAUUUUCUUCAGGUUGACCUCGGAUCAGGUAGGGAUACCCGCUGAACUUAAGCAUAUCAAUAAGC